AUUGAACGCUGGCGGAAGGCCUAACACAUGCAAGUCGAACGAUUGGCGGACGGGUGAGUAAUGUCUGGGAAACUGCCUGAUGGAGGGGGAUAACUACUGGAAACGGUAGCUAAUACCGCAUACCAUCAGCUGGGCCCAGAUGGGAUUAGCUAGUAGGUGGGGUAAUGGCUCACCAAGGCGACGAUCCCUAGCUGGUCUGAUAGGAUGACCAGCCACACUGGAACGUAGACACGGUCCAGAUUCCUACGUGAGGCAGCAGUGGUGAAGAUUGCGCAAUGGGCGCAAGCCUGAUGCAGCCAUGCCGCGUGUGUGAAGAAGGCCUUCGGGUUGUAAAGCACUUUCAGCGAGGAGGCGUUACUCGCAGAAGAAGCACCGGCUAACUCCGUGCCAGCAGCCGCGGUAAUAC
rnacentral:rRNA from 1 species